UACAGAGGAGCCAAGCGUUGUCCGGAUUGACUGGGCGUAAAGCGCACGCAGGCGGUUGCGCGCGUGGGGUGUGAAAUCUGGCCGCUUAACGGCCAGGCGCCAUCCCAUACGGCGCGACUGGAGUGAUGCAGAGGUCGAUGGAAUUGCCGGUGUAGUGGUGAAAUGCGUAGAGAUCGGCAGGAACACCCAGGGGGAAACCAGUCGACUGGGCAUCUACUGACGCUGAAGCGCGAAAGCCAGGGGAGCGAACGGG
rnacentral:rRNA from 1 species